AAUUAUGCCUUGGAUCCAGACUUUGAUUAUGGCUCAGGAUGAACGCUGGCGGCAUGCCUAAUACAUGCAAGUCGAACGGAGAAGCCUAACAGAAGAUGCUUGCAUCGGAAGAUAGAUACUUCUCAGUGGCGAACGGGUGAGUAACACGUAGGUAACCUGCCCAUGUGCCCGGGAUAAUUUCUGGAAACGGAAACUAAAACCGGAUAGGUAAUAGAGAAGCAUUUCUGUAUUAUUAAAGAAGCCUCAAAGCUUUGAACAUGGAUGGACCUGCGGUGCAUUAGCUAGUUGGUAAGGUAACGGCCUACCAAGGCGACGAUGCAUAGCCGACCUGAGAGGGCGAACGGCCACAUUGGGACUGAGACACGGCCCAAACUCCUACGGGAGGCAGCAGUAGGGAAUUUUCGUCAAUGGGGGGAACCCUGAACGAGCAAUGCCGCGUGAGUGAAGACGGUCUUCGGAUUGUAAAGCUCUGUUGUGAGAGAAAAAGGAUAUAUAUAGGAAAUGAUAUGUAUUUGAUGGUAUCUCACCAGAAAGUCACGGCUAACUACGUGCCAGCAGCCGCGGUAAUACGUAGGUGGCGAGCGUUAUCCGGAAUGAUUGGGCGUAAAGGGUACGUAGGCGGCAUGAUAAGUCUGGAGUGAAAGGCUACAGCUCAACUGUAGUAUGCUCUGGAAACUGUCAAGCUAGAGUGCAGAAGAGGGCAAUGGAACUCCAUGUGUAGCGGUAAAAUGCGUAGAUAUAUGGAAGAACACCGGUGGCGAAGGCGGUUGCCUGGUCUGAAACUGACGCUGAAGUACGAAAGCGUGGGGAGCAAAUAGGAUUAGAUACCCUAGUAGUCCACGCCGUAAACGAUGAGAACUAGGUGUUGGGGGAAUAACUCAGUGCCGCAGUUAACGCAAUAAGUUCUCCGCUUGGGGAGUAUGCACG
rnacentral:rRNA from 1 species